ensembl:lncRNA
GGGCUUCUUAAAGUGGCACCGGGCCACAGACAGCUGCUUAUAAAUAGGCAUGUGCCAUUUAGAAGGUCGCACAGCGAACCUCGAAACAUGCCAGAACCUUAACGAGAAACACUGAAAUGCAGAAGAAAUCAGAAGGAACCGCGCUCCCAACACGCACGGCCCCGCCACGCAGGAGCAUCCUAUGGGGCAGGGAGCAGCCAAUGCUCGUGGGGCUGCUCACAGGGAAGUGAACGCUGCCUUUCAUAAAAGCUGACUCCUCUACCCCAAAUAAAAAACAUUCCCUGCCUUGAAGAACAACAUUUUUUUAAUUAUUAUUUCAAAGUACCCUGUUCAGCAGCAGAGCAUACAAAUACUCAUAGCUACGCAAAUAGCAACUCUUUAUUUGCUUUGUUUGCUCAGCUAAUAUUGACUUUCCAGCCUAACACUGCUGCUAUUGAGUUUGGCUAUUCACAGUACUGUUUGACUAGCAUUAGAACAGCGCGGCGAUAACAGCAUGUGCAACCGAAAAAGCAAUCCAUCGCCCCUCCGUGGGACAGUGCCAUUAUGACAGAGGGGGAAAAAAAACCGUCUGCUUAUUCAGUCAAGUACAACUGUUGAAUGCAACGCUGGCAAUGACACUCCUGGCUAGUGCAAACAACCCAAGGUUACAGCGUUAGUGUGUACUCGCGCAAAGCAAACACUACAGAGCGGUUCCGUUGCUGCCCGUCGCCUUGGGCAGGACCCAGGGGUUCGUUCCCUGCCUGGGGUCAGUGUGUGCUGCCCUGUGCCAAGGCUCCUCCCAGCCGUGUGCGUGCUGUGGAGUGGAUGGGCAGACACGGAUGGAUGGAUGGGACCCCUCUGUGGGGGGAAGCAGGGCGAGAGCGCUGCGGAAGGGACGAGGUGGUUGUAGAGAGGUGCUGGGCACGGCCACCUCCCAACUUCCUCGUGCUGAGUUUUCCCAUGAGCAGUGAAUGCCAAGCAGCCUCUAACCCAGAGCAUCCAGGUUAAUUACUCAUUAAUAGCACUGAAACACCCUUCACAUUCUCCAGGAAAUGUAUUCCAGCCAGCACGAAAGGCAACGCAAUGCUCUGAUUCAUCCCAGCGUCCAGGAGAACAUCGCAGCAAUAAACUGAUAAGGAAGAACAGGUCCG